rnacentral:rRNA from 1 species
AUUGAACGCUGGCGGCAGGCCUAACACAUGCAAGUCGAACGAGUGGCGGACGGGUGAGUAAUGUCUGGGAAACUGCCUGAUGGAGGGGGAUAACUACUGGAAACGGUAGCUAAUACCGCAUACCAUCAGAUGUGCCCAGAUGGGAUUUGCUUGUUGGUGGGGUAACGGUUCACCAAGGCGACUAUCCCUAGCUGGUCUGAGAGGAUGACCGGCCACACUGGAACUGAGACACGGUGAAGAAUCCUACGGGAGGAAGCAGUGGGGAAUAGUGCACAAUGGGGGAAAGCCUGAUGCAGCCAUGCCGCGUGUAUGAAGAAGGCCUUCGGGUGGUAAAGUACUUUCAGCGGGGAGGCGUUACCCGCAGAAGAAGCACCGGCUAACUCCGUGCCAGCAGCCGCGGUAAUAC